UUUAGUAUAAACGAUGAACAUAAAGUAGAAGAUCAUCGAACACGCCGGAUGCGCUGUGUAUAUGAUUAUGCCGAUUUGAUGUUUGUAUGGGUUUUUUUCCAAGGUGUAAUAUAAAUAUUACUUCAUAGAAGUUGCCUACUCCAUGGAUUCAUGCAGUACUUUUCAUCUGGAGCCGUUCUUUGGAUUAUUCAGCAAACAGUUUAUCUGAUGAAGUUUGAAUGGAACAUCUAAUUUGUAUUCAUAAUAAAUUAACAAUGUUAUUGUUAUAUUGAGAAAUGGCGAACCAGUAUUUCAGAAAUAGUGUAAAGUUACAGUGUUUCAACAAUUUUUCCUGCAGUAAAAUACAACUUUUGUUCAAAGUAGAGCAUGAUGUAGUGAAAAUUUACAUAAUUCAAGAAACAUCUUCACAUGAAUUUAAAACACGUUCAAAAUAUUUCUUAACAAUGAAAAUAUUUAAUGAAUGAAAAUAGAAAGCUAUGAAAUGAUGUGUGUUUUUGGUAAUGCUGACUCUUAAUAAAACCAGAAAAGAAGAAGAGCAGUAACCCCCCUGCAGUUGCCGGAUAGCCUAUGAAAAACUUCACCACUUCCCUUAGCUCAAAAAUUAUUUCUGUUUGAUGACGAACGCAGCAGCAUAUAAACUUGCAUUUAUGCCCCCCUGGGCCCAAAAUUGGAAUAAACUUAUCAUUUCUAAACCGACUUUGCCUAACAACAAAGACGAGCUAAUUAUGCAUGUUUUCAACACAGCGUCACGGAUUAACGUCAGAAGCUGGGUCCAAAAGAAACUCAACGAGUCUUCAAAUAGUCAAACCUAACGUUAUUCAGACCUGUGCGAAUCAUUCAAUUACUUCAUUCUCAUUAACAAUCUUACUUACUCAAAAUAGCAAAAUUCUUUUAUGCAGUUGUAAUAUUUUAUAAAUGUUUGUCAUAUUAGAUAUGAAUAAAAGUACAACUGAU